rnacentral:rRNA from 1 species
GACGAACGCUGGCGGCGUGCUUAACACAUGCAAGUCGAACGGUGAAGCUCCAGCUUGCUGGAGUGGAUCAGUGGCGAACGGGUGAGUAACACGUGAGCAACCUGCCCCAGACUCUGGAAUAAGCGCUGGAAACGGCGUCUAAUACUGGAUACGAGAUCAAGCCGCAUGGUUAUGGUCUGGAAAGUUUUUCGGUUUGGGAUGGGCUCGCGGCCUAUCAGCUUGUUGGUGAGGUAAUGGCUCACCAAGGCGACGUCGGGUAGCCGGCCUGAGAGGGCGACCGGCCACACUGGGACUGAGACACGGCCCAGACUCCUACGGGAGGCAGCAGUGGGGAAUAUUGCACAAUGGGCGAAAGCCUGAUGCAGCGACGCCGCGUGAGGGAUGACGGCCUUCGGGUUGUAAACCUCUUUCAGCAGGGAAGAAGCGAAAGUGACGGUACCUGCAGAAGAAGCACCGGCUAACUACGUG